CAUGUUCUUAGUCAGUGUCAUAAAUGAAGACAGAAAACUAACAGUGUCAGUGUCAACUUUGCUCUAUCAGGACUCCUUUUCUUCAACAUGGCCUACACACAAUUACUGAGGCAAAAUAUUGAAAGACCUGUGCAAAACAAAGGUUUUCCGAGAGCUGCACCUUCUCCCAAAUGGUACGGUCGAUUUCCCAAGACGACAAAGGAAAUCUGAUGCACAGCGAAUAGAGGAAGAGAAUGCAAGGUAAACAAAGAAGACUAACAAUGCAUAGGAUUUAAAAUUACGGAUGGCUUUUUUUUUUAAAAUUGACUGUUAAACCUGUAGACACAAUUUAAUCACCUGCCAGAAGAGUCUGACAACAUACACAUUUCUUGGAGAAGGCCUAUUGCAGCAACAACAAGAAUAAAUGAAGACGGAUAAUGGACAGUUGACAA